GCGCACGCAGGCGGUCUGUUAAGCUAGAUGUGAAAGCCCCGCGCUCAACGUGGGAUGGUCAUUAGAACUGGCAGACUAGAGUCUUGGAGAGGGGAGUGGAAUUCCAGGUGUAGCGGUGAAAUGCGUAGAGAUCUGGAGGAACAUCAAUGGCGAAGGCAACUCCCUGGCCAAAGACUGACGCUCAUGUGCGAAAGUGUGGGUAGCGAACAGGAUUAGAUACCCUGGUAGUCCACACCGUAAACGCUGUCUACUAGCUGUUUGUGGAUUUAAUCCGUGAGUAGCGAAGCUAACGCGAUAAGUAGACCGCCUGGGGAGUACGGCCGCAAGGUUAAAACUCAAAUGAAUUGACGGGGGCCCGCACAAGCGGUGGAGCAUGUGGUUUAAUUCGAUGCAACGCGAAGAACCUUACCUACUCUUGACAUCCUCAGAAGAGACUGGAGACAGUCUUGUGCCUUCGGGAACUGAGAGACAGGUGCUGCAUGGCU
rnacentral:rRNA from 1 species